rnacentral:rRNA from 1 species
GUAGGGAAUAUUGCACAAUGGGGGAAACCCUGAUGCAGCGACGCCGCGUGAGUGAUGAAGGCCUUCGGGUCGUAAAGCUCUGUCGUAUGGGACUAACACAAUGAAGGUACCAUGCAAGAAAGGAUCGGCUAACUUCGUGCCAGCAGCCGCGGUAAGACGAGGGAUACUAGCGUUGUUCGGAAUCAUUGGGCGUAAAGCGGGUGUAGGCGGAUGUAUAAGUCAGGUGUGAAAUCCCAGGGCUCAACCCUGGAAGUGCACUUGAUACUGUAAAUCUUGAGUGUGGUAGAGGUUACUGGAAUUGUUGGUGUAGUGGUGAAAUACGUAGAUAUCAACAGGAAUACCGGAGGCGAAGGCGAGUAACUGGGCCAACACUGACGCUGAGACCCGAAAGCGUGGGGAUCAAACAGGAUUAGAAACCCUUGUAGUCC